AUUACACAACAGGUGCGAAGGUCAGCUCUCUAUCAGUGAUUUUCUUUCGAUUUGUUCAGGUGUAAAAAUGGCGUCAGCAUCAGCAGACAGACACAGUCCAGAAUUGGAUCGUCCUCACAGUAAUGAUGUUCAGCUGGGAGAGAAUCAGGAAUCUGAUCUUAGUGAGAACACAAACACAGGAAGUGAUGGAGGAGAGACAUCGAUGGAGACACAGAUGGAAAAACUG